GAGCCGAUGGAUGAGGAGGAGGAAAGUUCUUGUAUGUUUGAGAAGUUAUGUUUCAUCCAUUUUGUGGAGUGAACCUUCAACACGUUCUGUCAUAUUGUGGGAAAUGUGGCAGAAAUGUUCAGUUUUUAUGGAGUCUUCAAGAUGAAGGUCCUGAAGCUACAAUGGUAGAUGAAGUUAUUCUGAAGUAUUUCACAGAACACCACAGUUAUGAAAUGAUAAUGGACUUACUGGCAACCAACCACAACAUUAAUUGAGUCUUAGCACUUUAGAAAGAAGACUACAGGAUGCAGGCCUGACCCGGAGGACUAACUACACUCCGAGCGAGGCAGCUAUUUCUGAGG